rnacentral:rRNA from 1 species
CGAUGGCGACCGGCGCACGGGUGAGUAACGCGUAUGCAACCUGCCCGAUACCGGGGUAUAGCCCAUGGAAACGUGGAUUAACACCCCAUAGUACUUUUAUCCUGCCUGGGAUGGGAGUUAAAUGUUCAAGGUAUCGGAUGGGCAUGCGUCCUAUUAGUUAGUUGGCGGGGUAACAGCCCACCAAGACGAUGAUAGGUAGGGGUUCUGAGAGGAAGGUCCCUCACAUUGGAACUGAGACACGGUCCAA